GACGAACGCUGGCGGCGUGCUUAACACAUGCAAGUCGAACGGAAAGGCCCUGCUUUUGUGGGGUGCUCGAGUGGCGAACGGGUGAGUAACACGUGAGUAACCUGCCCUUGACUUUGGGAUAGCUUCAGGAAACUGGGGCUAAUACCGGAUAGGAGCUCCUGCUGCAUGGUGGGGGUUGGAAAGUUUCGGCGGUUGGGGUUGGACUCGCGGCUUAUCAGCUUGUUGGUGGGGUAGUGGCUUACCAAGGCUUUGACGGGUAGCCGGCCUGAGAGGGUGACCGGCCACAUUGGGACUGAGAUACGGCCCAGACUCCUACGGGAGGCAGCAGUGGGGAAUAUUGCACAAUGGGCGGAAGCCUGAUGCAGCAACGCCGCGUGCGGGAUGACGGCCUUCGGGUUGUAAACCGCUUUCGCCUGUGACGAAGCGUGAGUGACGGUAAUGGGUAAAGAAGCACCGGCUAACUACGUG
rnacentral:rRNA from 1 species